AUGGAGGUCGACGAGCCGGCGCCGCACGGCGGGGGCGGGGGCGGGGCCCCGCCCCGCAUCCGGCGGCUGGAGGAGUCGGUGGUGAACCGCAUCGCCGCGGGGGAGGUGGUCCAGCGGCCGUCGUCGGCGGUGAAGGAGCUCGUCGAGAACAGCAUCGACGCCGGCGCCUCCACCGUCUCUGUCACCGUCAAGGACGGCGGCCUCAAGCUCAUCCAGGUCUCCGACGACGGCCACGGCAUCCGGUGUGAGGACUUGCCAAUAUUGUGUGAGAGACAUACUACCUCAAAGCUGUCUGCAUAUGAGGACCUACAAACAAUAAAGUCCAUGGGGUUCAGAGGGGAGGCUUUGGCCAGUAUGACUUAUGUUGGCCAUGUUACGGUGACAACAAUAACAGAAGGCCAACUGCAUGGCUACAGAGUUUCUUAUAGGGAUGGAGUAAUGGAGAAUGACCCGAAGCCCUGUGCUGCGGUUAAAGGAACUCAAGUCAUGGUUGAAAAUUUAUUCUACAAUAUGGUAGCUCGUAGGAAAACACUGCAGAACUCCAAUGAUGACUAUCCAAAGAUAGUGGACUUCAUCAGUCGGUUUGCGGUCCAUCACAUCAAUGUGAACUUCUCUUGCAGAAAGCAUGGAGCCAAUAGAGCAGAUGUUCACAGUGGGAGCACAUCUUCAAGGCUAGAUGCUAUUAGGAAUGUCUACGGGGCUUCGGUUGUUCGUGAUCUGAUGGAAAUACAGGUUUCAGAUGAGAAUGCUGUAGAUGAAAUAUUCAAGAUGGAUGGUUUCAUCUCAAAUGCAAAUUAUGUGGCAAAAAAGACUACUAUGAUUCUUUUCAUAAAUGAUAGACUUGUAGACUGCACUUCUUUGAAAAGAGCUACUGAAUUUGUGUACUCUGCAAUACUGCCUCAAGCAUCCAAACCCUUCAUAUACAUGUCCAUCAAUCUUCCACCAGAACACGUGGAUGUCAAUAUACAUCCAACCAAAAAGGAGGUUAGCCUCUUAAAUCAAGAGCGUAUUAUUGAAAAAAUUAAAGAUGCUAUUGAGGAAAAACUGCUGAACUGUAAUAACACAAGGAUAUUCCAAACUCAGGCACUAAACUCUUCAGCACUUACUCAAUCUAACAUACGAAAGGACAUGAGCACGGAGAUCAGCACGCCUACUGGAGAAAAAUCUCAAAAGGUUCCUGUGAGCCAAAUGGUCAGAACAGAUCCACGCGAUCCAUCUGGAAGGUUGCACACCUAUUGGCAAGGUCAAUCUUCAAAUCUUGAAAAGAAAUCUGACCUUGUUACCGUGAGAAAUAUUGUAAGAUCAAGAAGAAAUCCAAAAGAUGCUGGUGAUUUGUCCAGUCGCCAUGAGCUUCUUACAGAAAUAGAUUCUAACUUACAUCCCGGCCUUUUCGAUAUUGUUAAGAAUUGCACAUAUGUUGGAGUUGCCGAUGAGGUUUUCGCUUUGAUACAGCACAAUACCCUCUUAUACCUUGUCAAUGUGGUAAAUGUUAGCAAAGAACUCAUGUACCAACAAGCUCUGUGCCGCUUUGGAAACUUCAAUGCUAUACAGCUAAGUGAACCUGCUCCGCUUCGGGAGUUGCUGACAAUGGCACUGAAAGAUGACGAAUCAAUGAGUGAUGUAAAUGAGAAGGAGAAACUAGAAAUUGCAGAAGUGAACACUGAGAUACUAAAAGAAAAUGCUGAGAUGAUUAAUGAGUACUUCUCGAUUCACAUUGAUCAAGGUGGCAACCUGACCAGACUUCCGGUUGUACUUGAUCAGUACACCCCUGAUAUGGAUCGCCUUCCAGAGUUCAUGUUGACUCUAGGAAAUGACAUUGCCUGGGACGUUGAGAAAGAGUGCUUCAGAACGGCAGCAGCUGCUAUUGGAAACUUCUAUGCGCUUCAUCCUCCCAUCCUUCCAAAUCCAUCUGGCAAAGGCAUUCGGUUAUACAAGAGAAAUAAAGAUUCCAUGGGAAGUGCUGAACCGGCUGAUAACGAUUUAACAGGUACAGAUGAAGAUGACGUCGACCAAGAGCUGGUUGCGGAAGCAGAGGCGGCAUGGGCUCAGCGCGAGUGGACCAUCCAGCACGUCUUGUUCCCGUCCAUGCGACUUUUCCUCAAGCCCCCUAAGUCGAUGGCAACGGAUGGAACGUUCGUCCAGAUUGCUUCUCUAGACAAGCUUUACAAGAUCUUCGAGAGAUGCUAG
rnacentral:rRNA from 1 species